CUCUGAAUGAUAGAACUCCCACACUGUAUUCUGGCGCGCGGAACAUACCUAUCAGGGAAAAAUUGGCGGUCAAAGGAAGUCACAGAAGACAACAGGAAGUAGAAUCCCUUAAGACAGUCGGAGAGAUCGGUCAAAAUAUUCAGGUUGGAGUCGACAGAAAGCUGUGUGGUAACGUUUUCAGGAACACGAAACAGUGAUCUCGGGGACCGGCGUUAAGAUUUCCUAAAGAAAGAAAAGCGAGCCAGAUGAGAAGAGAGUGAUGUGUGAAAUUUGUAAAGUCAGCUAUAAUUCUGUACAUUGAGCAAUACCACGAGCAUCGUUGUACAAAAGGAAAUGAUCAUGUAGAAGUACCAAAUGAAAGCUUGGAAGUAACAGAAAGCCUUAAAGUAGGUGAAAUGAGAGCACAGUCUGAAGAGAGUUCUGUCCAUGGUGGAUCAUCUACAAUUCAUACAGUUCCAUGUCCUGAAGCAGAAGACAUAGAGAGCAACAGGAGAAGAAUAUAUAGCCAAAUGAAAGAAACCUGAAAAGUGGACGGUAACCAAGAUGUGCCCAAAAAUGUAUCUGAUGAAGAUGUUUUGUCAUUCUUUCCUGUAUCUGAAUUUAAUAUUGAGAACCACUCUGACAGUGAAAAUGAAGAACAGUGGGAAGCAACUGCGGAAAAAGAGAUGGCUGUAAAUAUUGAAGAAGGAAUUUCUCAGGAUUUAGAUUAUGUAGCAGAACAGCUAUACGCAAGCCCAGCAACAGUUCAUGACAAAGUGCUGAGGUUUGUUAGAUGGUUAUGUCUUUUUUUGAUGGUGUGGCAGACACAUUUUUUUUAUUUCUGAUGUGGCAAUCGAUACAUGGUUACAAUUUUUUAAAGAUUUGCUGACUGUGUUUGCUGAACCAGGAGGUAUCCUUGGAUUGACACUUACUGUCUUGCCUUUCAUUUCCUCUUAUUCUCGCGUUGACGCACGUCUCUGAGCAGUCUGUCGCACUAUGUCUGUGGUUCGUUCAUUUCCUCUUAUUCUCUGAAGCAUAGGCAUGUGUUGACGCACGUCUCUGACCGGUCUGUCGCAUUAUGUCCGUGGUUCAUUCAUUUCCUCUUAUUCUCUGAAUCAUAGGCAUGUGUUGACGCACGUCUCUGAGUGGUCUGUCGCACUAUGUCUGUGGUUCGUUCAUUUCCUCCUUAUUCUCUGAAUCAUAGGCAUGUGUUGACGCACGUCUCUGACCGGUCUGUCGCAUUAUGUCCGUGGUUCAUUCAUUUCCUCUUAUUCUCUGAAUCAUAGGCAUGUGUUGACGCACGUCUCUGAGUGGUCUGUCGCAUUAUGUCCGUGGUUCAUUCAUUUCCUCUUAUUCUCUGAAUCAUAGGCAUGUGUUGACGCAUGUCUCUGAGCGGUCUGUCGCAUUAUGUCCGUGGUUCAUUCAUUUCCUCUUAUUCUCUGAAUCAUAGGCAUGUGUUGACGCACGUCUCUGAGCGGUCUGUCGCAUUAUGUCCGUGGUUCAUUCAUUUCCUCUUAUUCUCGCGUUGACGCACGUCUCUGACCGGUCUGUCGCACUAUGUCCGUGGUUCGUUCAUUUCCUCUUAUUCUCUGAAUCACAGGCAUGUGUUGACGCACGUCUCUGAGUGGUCUGUCGCAUUAUGUCCGUGGUUCAUUCAUUUCCUCUUAUUCUCUGAAUCAUAGGCAUGUGUUGACGCAUGUCUCUGAGCGGUCUGUCGCAUUAUGUCCGUGGUUCAUUCAUUUCCUCUUAUUCUCUGAAUCAUAGGCAUGUGUUGACGCACGUCUCUGACCGGUCUGUCGCACUAUGUCUGUGGUUCGUUCAUUUCCUCUUAUUCUCUGAAUCAUAGGCAUGUGUUGACGCACGUCUCUGAGCGGUCUGUCGCAUUAUGUCCGUGGUUCGUUCAUUUUCUCUUUAAUGCCAAUCAAAGUGUCUGUUGCACUGGUUUGUUCAUUCUGCUGUCUUCAGUGUGUGUGGUGUGUUAUGUUUUUUUUUUGUGAGUGUUCAAGUUGUUUUGUUUAAAUUGUUUGUUUGUUUGUUUAUUUGGCUUAUUAAUAAAUACACACACUGGUGCUUGCACCUGCCAUCUCCUGUCUCUGAGGUUAUGUUUGUUAUUUUUAUUA